rnacentral:rRNA from 1 species
UACAUGGGGUGCAAACGUUAAUCGGAAUUACUGGGCGUAAAGCGUGCGCAGGCGGUUUGUUAAGUCCGUUGUGAAAGCCCCGAGCUCAACUUGGGAAUUGCAGUGGAUACUGGCAGGCUGGAGUACGGUAGAGGAAGGUGGAAUUCCCGGUGUAGCAGUGAAAUGCGUAGAUAUCGGGAGGAACACCAGUGGCGAAGGCGGCCUUCUGGACCAGUACUGACGCUCAUGCACGAAAGCGUGGGGAGCAAACAGG